rnacentral:lncRNA from 1 species
GAAAAUACUUCUGUUUAUGUUUAUCUUAUUAUUGUUAAAUAAAAUACUGUUUGGCCAAUGAAACGGCAAGUUAGGCAGGACUAGGAGUCAAAGAGGAUUCUGGGAAAUGUAGUAGAGAAGUGCUGAUCCAGGCAGGAAGUGACAUAGCGAAGAUACUCAUAUUUAAGCGAAGGAGAAACAGGAAGGGCCCUCUUUUCCCCUCUGCUCCUGCUCCAGCAGCACAAUGUGAUCCACCAGCCAGGAGGGAUGCCAACAAGGCAUCUGAUAAGAUAAGUCUUAUAAAAUAUAUAGAUUUAUGAUAAUUAAGACUGAGCUAGCAGAUGAGAAUCCUAGUCAUUGGCCAAGCAGCAUUGUACCUAAUACAAAUUUCUGUGUAUUCAUUUGAAUCUAACUCGGGCGGGUGGCUGGCGUAAAGCUCCCACGUGGCAGUGGGGCUCAGUGGCUUUUGGCAGAAAGAUUUAUUGUAACAGGUGAGCCUCCCUUUAGUCAUUUUCUGUUGUGGUAGAAACACCAUAUUAAUUGUGGUUCAAAACUGGACUUUUGAGAGAAAAAGAUUCUAUUAAUAAUCAUGCCAAAUCCCUAAGCCCUCGGGAGGCUGAGGCAGGAGAAUCAAAAGGUCAAAGCCAACCUGGGCCACUUAGCAAGACCCUGUAUCAUUUUUUUUAAAAAAAGGCUGGGCAUAUGAUUCAUUGCUAGAGAACUUGCCUAUCGUGACUUGUGACUGAGUUCUCUCCCCAGCACUAAGAAAAGAAACACAAGUCACACAAGUCAACAGCCAUCAAAUAGAUGUAUCCCAGGCCAACCAAGGACUUAGAAUAAAAUUGGAGCAUACUAGGAUAGAAGAAAAGACAUGCAUUUAAAGGGGACACCACAUGGGUUAUAAAGGACAUUUGAGAUCAUGGCUAUCUUCUGCACAUGCUCACCUGGUAGCUGGCAUGUACAACAGAGAUCCGUAGCAGAGCAGUAUAAGUCAAUUCAUCUCACCCACUUGGCUGAGUCUGACUUCAUCUGUAUCCUUUUGGCUAAUUCACACCAGAUUAUUGAUAGCCAAGCCCUCAAUGGUUUGCAUCCCACACAGUCACCAAAGGUUUCUCCUUGA